AACCAGAGGCUGAGCAAACUUUAGAGCGAAACACUCCACCUGCUCCUGACCAGACCCAAGGAAGUGGUAAAUCAACUGGUUCGACUAGUUUUUCUCGCAAGGAGCUUGAAAGUCUCAAAGUGCAGAAACCCUUAGAGUAUCUGAAGGCUAUGCUUAGUGCUCGUUUUAAUUUCCAAGAUUCUUCGCAGAGCAGUUCGACUACUUCUGGGGCCACUUCUAAAGCACCAUCACUUGGCAACAUCUUGACCAAGAUUAAAACGAAAAUCCUUGAUGUUGAUUUGUUC
rnacentral:lncRNA from 1 species